rnacentral:rRNA from 1 species
AUUGAACGCUGGCGGAAUGCUUUACACAUGCAAGUCGAACGGCAGCGCGGACUUCGGUCUGGUGGCGAGUGGCAAACGGGUGAGUAAUACAUCGGAACGUGCCCAGUCGUGGGGGAUAACGUAGCGAAAGCUACGCUAAUACCGCAUACGAUCUACGGAUGAAAGCGGGGGAUCGCAAGACCUCGCGCGAUUGGAGCGGCCGAUGGCAGAUUAGGUAGUUGGUGGGGUAAAGGCUCACCAAGCCGACGAUCUGUAGCUGGUCUGAGAGGACGACCAGGCACACUGGGACUGAGAGACGGCCCAGACUCCUACGGGAGGCAGCAGUGGGGAAUUUUGGACAAUGGGCGCAAGCCUGAUCCAGCCAUUCCGCGUGCAGGAUGAAGGCCCUCGGGUUGUAAACUGCUUUCGCACGGAACGAAAAGGCUCUGGUUAAUACCCGGGGCUCAUGACGGUACCGUAAGAAUAAGCACCGGCUAACUACGUGCCAGCCGCCGCAGUAAGAC